GCACCGUUGGUCUAAUGGUUAGGAUAUCUGCCUUCCAAGCAGAUGGUCCGGGUUCAAUUCCCGGACGAUGCA
rnacentral:tRNA from 1 species